UACGUAGGAGGCAAGCGUUGUCCGGAAUUACUGGGCGUAAAGCGCGUGUAGGUGGUGGGACAAGUCUGCUGUGAAAGCGCCUGGCUUAACCGGGCGAGGUCGGCGGAAACUGUCCGACUCGAGGACGGUAGAGGGGGGUGGAAUUCCCGGUGUAGUGGUGAAAUGCGUAGAGAUCGGGAGGAACACCUGUGGCGAAGGCGGCCCCCUGGGCCGGCCCUGACACUGAGACGCGAAGGCGUGGGGAGCGAUCCGG
rnacentral:rRNA from 1 species